rnacentral:hammerhead_ribozyme from 1 species
GUACUGCUGAGGAGUCCCAUAAUAGGACAAAACGACCGUCCAGUGC